rnacentral:rRNA from 1 species
GAUGAACGCUGGCGGCGUGCCUAAUACAUGCAAGUCGAGCGAACAGACGAGGAGCUUGCUCCUCUGACGUUAGCGGCGGACGGGUGAGUAACACGUGGAUAACCUACCUAGAAGACUGGGAUAACUUCGGGAAACCGGAGCUAAUACCGGAUAACAUGUUGAACCGCAUGGUUCAACAGUGAAAGACGGUUUUGCUGUCACUUAUAUAUGGAUCCGCGCCGCAUUAGCUAGUUGGUAAGAUAACGGCUUACCAAGGCAACGAUGCGUAGCCGACCUGAGAGGGUGAUCGGCCACACUGGAACUGAGACACGGUCCAGACUCCUACGGGAGGCAGCAGUAGGGAAUCUUCCGCAAUGGGCGAAAGCCUGACGGAGCAAAGCCGCGUGAGUGAAGAAGGUCUUCGGAUCGUAAAACUCUGUUAUUAGGGAAGAACAAAUGUGUAAGUAACUAUGCACGUCUUGACGGUACCUAAUCAGAAAGCCACGGCUAACUACGUG